GACGAACGCUGGCGGCGUGCCUAACACAUGCAGGUCGAGCGAAGUGAGUACUACGGUACGAACUUAGCGGCGGACGGGUGAGUAACGCGUGGACAAUCUACCCUGUAGACUGGGAUAACACCUCGAAAGGGGUGCUAAUACCGGAUAAUGUCGAGAAGCGGCAUCGCUUUUCGAAGAAAGGAGAGAAUCCGCUAUAGGAGGAGUCCGCGUCCCAUUAGCUAGUUGGUGAGGGUAACGGCCCACCAAGGCGACGAUGGGUAGCCGGCCUGAGAGGGUGAACGGCCACACUGGAACUGGGACACGGUCCAGACUCCUACGGGAGGCAGCAGUGGGGAAUAUUGUGCAAUGGGGGAAACCCUGACACAGCAACGCCGCGUGAGCGAAGAAGGCCGUCGGGUUGUAAAGCUCAAUAGUAUGGGAAGAUAGUGACGGUACCAUACGAAAGCCCCGGCUAACUACGUGCCAGCCGCCGCCGUAACAC
rnacentral:rRNA from 1 species